rnacentral:misc_RNA from 1 species
AAGUCGUAACAAGGUUUCCGUAGGUGAACCUGCGGAAGGAUCAUUAUCGUGGGGCUCCGGCCCCGUCGAGAUAUCACCCUUGCCUUUUUCGAGCACCGUUCCGUUUCCUCGGCAGGCCCGCCUGCCAACGGGGACCCCAACCAAACCCUUUUGCGUACCUGCAACCGUCUGAGAAACAAGCGAAACAAUCAAAACUUUCAACAAUGGAUCUCUUGGUUCUG